rnacentral:lncRNA from 1 species
CUAACUUCCUCCACCAUCUCUCCAUCAAACACUUCAUCUUUUCACUCACAAACAAUCAUCCACCAUUCCUUUUUUUCUUGCCAAACAACCAUGGUUGCACACUCUUUCCGUCGCCGACAACAAUGAUAUUACAAAGCACAAAAAAAUAUCGGAGCCGACGAACGCCGAUACUGCUUUAACUCCUCACCAACUCGGAUUCAACAAACCACUAUUCCAUAACUUGAUACCACAGUGCUCAACAUAACCUCAUCUUAUUUCCGUCAAACACC